rnacentral:rRNA from 1 species
AAGUUCGAACGAGCGAUACCCCCUUCGGGGGUAAAGCUAGUGGCGGACGGGUGAGUAACGCNUGGGCAACUUGUCCUUGACAGGGGAACAACCAUGAGAAAUCNUGGCUAAUACCUCAUAAGCUUACGGAGCCNCAUGGUUCAGUAAGAAAAGAUUUAUCGGUUAAGGAGAGGCCCGCGUCUGAUUAGCUAGUUGGUAAGGUAACGGCUUACCAAGGCAACGAUCAGUAGCCGACCUGAGAGGGUGAUCGGCCACAUUGGGACUGAGACACGGCCCAAACUCCUACGGGAGGCAGCAGUGGGGAAUAUUGCGCAAUGGGCGAAAGCCUGACGCAGCAACGCCGCGUGAAGGAAGAAGGUUUUCGGAUCGUAAACUUCAAUCUGCAGGGAAGAAAAAAAUGACGGUACCUGAAGAGAAGCCCCGGCUAACUACGUGCCAGCAGCCGCGGUAAUACGUAGGGGGCAAGCGUUAUCCGGAAUUACUGGGUGUAAAGGGUGAGUAGGCGGCAUCGUAAGUCAUAUGUGAAAUCCCGGGGCUUAACCCCGGGACUGCAUAAGAAACUACGGAGCUAGAGUACAGGAGAGGUAAGCGGAAUUCCUAGUGUAGCGGUGAAAUGCGUAGAUAUUAGGAAGAACACCAGUGGCGAAGGCNGCUUACUGGACUGAAACUGACGCUGAGUCACCGAAAGCGUGGGGAGCNAACAGGAUUAGAUACCCUGGUAGUCCACCGCCGUACACGAUGAGUGCUAGGUGUCGGGUAGAGAUACUCNGUGCCCGGAGCAAACCCNAUAAGCCNCUCCCCCUGGGGAGUACGGUCNCNAGAUUGAAACUCNAAGGAAUUGACNGGGGCCCCCCACCANCCGUGGANCCUGUGGUUUUAAUUCCAAGC